UACGAAGGGUGCGAGCGUUAUUCGGAAUGACUGGGUGUAAAGAGCGUGGAGGCGGUUUUGUAAGUCAGCUGUUAAAUAGCCCAGCUUAACUGGGCAAGUGCGGUUGAUACUACAAGGCUAGAGUACAAGAGAGAAGAGUGGAAUUCUCGGAGUAGCGGUAAAAUGCGUAGAUCUCAAGAGGAACACCGGUUGCGAAGGCGGCUCUUUGGCUUGUAACUGACGCUUAAGCGCGAAAGCGUGGGGAGCAAACAGGAUUAGAUACCCUGGUAGUCCACGCUGUAAACGAUGAUCACUAGAUGUGGGCUCUGCUUGCAAAGUCUGUGUCGUAGCUAACGCGUUAAGUGAUCCACCUGAGUAGUACGGUCGCAAGAUUAAA
rnacentral:rRNA from 1 species